rnacentral:rRNA from 12 species
UGGCAUGGCCACACCCGGAGUGCCCGACCCCGUUUGGUCUCGGAAGCUAAGCACAGUCAUACUUGGAUGGGAGACCACCUUGGAACACCAGUGGGUUGCGUCAG